rnacentral:lncRNA from 1 species
AAUAUUUAAGGAAGAGGUUCCUUUUAAUAUAACAUGUUGUGAUAUGUGGGUAUAAUUCUUCAAUGAAUUUCAAUAGAACAUAUCACCAUAGAAGAAUGAUGCAAAUGGUUAUCACUAUAUAACCAAACUGCAUAAAGUUUAUCCAAAUCAAACUAAUAAAUAUAGUGAUGACACGAGAUUAACACACCAUCUUAGCUCAAAACAUAAAGAAC